AGAUAGCAACACGCUACGCAAAUGGCAAAGAAGAGGACCGCAUCCGGAGCGGCAAGCACAAAACAGUCGCUCAUGGCGAUGGGGGCAACACUCGGAAGCAGAAGCAGAAAGCUCCGACCGCUCCGCAAGCGGAGGCCGUAGCCGUAACCAAUGCCAAGUUCAAGGGUAAAGGGAAGGCUCAGUUCACCCCCAAGAAGAAGCAGUUCAAUAACCCCAUCCUGGACCAGCCAUGUCCGGUUCAUACGAAGAUGGACGAAGAAGGCAACCC
rnacentral:lncRNA from 1 species